GAUUGAUAUUAUUUAAUUUUUUUUUUUUUUAAUUUUAUUUAUAAAUUUUAUUUUUAUAGUUAUUUAUUAUUUAUACAAAAUUUUAUAUUUUUAGUUUAUUUUACUGAAAGGGAAUAUUUUAAAUAAAAUUUAAAGAAUACAUUUUUGUAGUACCUUUUGUAUCAGGGUUAAUUAAUUUUAAAAAUUUAUUUAUUUAUUUCUCGAAUAUUCAAGAUUUAAAUUAAUUUGUUUAUUAAUGUUUUAAAAUUAAAUAAAAAGUUAAUUUGGUUUUGAAAUGAAAUUUCGUUUGGGUUUAUAUCUAGUUUUCUAAGAUUUUAAUUUAAUUAAUGAUUUUUUUUUGAAUAAUUAUUUUAUUACUUCAUUUUAAUUUCAAAUUUUAUUGGGGAUAAUCUCAUUAAAUAUUUAAAAUUUUUCAGAUAAAAUAUUUUUUUUAGAUUUAGAAUUUGUCUUAAUUUAAAGUUUGUAAUAAAUUAAAAUAUUCAAUAUAAUUUAAUUUAUUUUUUUAUUAGUUUUUUAUAAAUAAUUUUUUUUAAAAUAAUAAUGAUUAAAUUAGUAAAUAUUAAAAAUUUGAUAUAUGAAUUCGGCAAAUUUUAUUUUUCACCUGUUUAACAAAAACAUGUCCUAAAGUUUUUUUUUUAGGUCAAGCCUGCUCAGUGAACAUGUUUUAAAUAGCCGCAGUAUUUUAACUGUGCUAAGGUAGCAUAAUAAUUAGUCUUUUAAUUGAGGUCUGGAAUGAAUGGUUAAAUGAAAAAAUAACUUUAUUUAUUAAAUUUAAUUGAAUUUUAUUUUUGAUUUAAAAAGAUCAAAUAAUUUUAAGUGACGAUAAGACCCUAUAGAUCUUUAAAAUUUUUUUUAUUUAAUUUUUAGUUGUUUUUCUUUAAUUAAAAUUUAUAUUUUUUUAUUGGGGUGAUAGUUAAAAUUUUAAACUUUAAUUUUUUUUAACAAUUUUUUUUGGUUUUUUUGAUCCUUUAUUUUGAUUAUAAGAAAAAGAUACCUUAGGGAUAACAGCGUAAUAUAACUGAAGAGUUCAUAUCGAUAGUUAUGAUUGCGACCUCGAUGUUGGAUUAAUUUUAAGUUGUGAGGUAGGUUUUACAAUUUUAGGUCUGUUCGACCUUUAAAAAAUUACAUGAUCUGAGUUCAGACCGGCGUGAGCCAGGUUGGUUUCUAUCUUUUUAAUAAGUUCAAUUAGUACGAAAGGACCUUUGAAUUAUAAUAAUUAUUU
rnacentral:rRNA from 1 species